UAGUCCUACGGGGCGCAGCAGUGAGGAAUAUUGGUCAAUGGCCGCAGGGCUGAACCAGCCAAGUCGCGUGAGGGAUGACGGUCCUAUGGAUUGUAAACCUCUUUUGUCAGGGAGCAAAGGGCGCCACGUGUGGCGUUUUGCGAGUACCUGAAGAAAAAGCAUCGGCUAACUCCGUGCCAGCAGCCGCGGUAAUACGUAGGUGGCAAGCGUUGUCCGGAUUUAUUGGGCGUAAAGCGAGUGCAGG
rnacentral:rRNA from 1 species